GGGUUGUGAGGUUAAGCGACUAAGCGUACACGGUGGAUGCCCUGGCAGUCAGAGGCGAUGAAGGACGUGCUAAUCUGCGAUAAGCGUCGGUAAGGUGAUAUGAACCGUUAUAACCGGCGAUUUCCGAAUGGGGAAACCCAGUGUGAUUCGUCACACUAUCAUUAACUGAAUCCAUAGGUUAAUGAGGCGAACCGGGGGAACUGAAACAUCUAAGUACCCCGAGGAAAAGAAAUCAACCGAGAUUCCCCAGUAGCGGCGAGCGAACGGGGAGCAGCCCAGAGCCUGAAUCAGUGUGUGUGUUAGUGGAAGCGUCUGGAAAGGCGCGCGAUACAGGGUGACAGCCCCGUACACAAAAAUGCACAUAUUGUGAGCUCGAUGAGUAGGGCGGGACACGUGGUAUCCUGUCUGAAUAUGGGGGGCCCAUCCUCCAAGGCUAAAUACUCCUGACUGACCGAUAGUGAACCAGUACCGUGAGGGAAAGGCGAAAAGAACCCCGGCGAGGGGAGUGAAAAAGAACCUGAAACCGUGUACGUACAAGCAGUGGGAGCACGCUUAGGCGUGUGACUGCGUACCUUUUGUAUAAUGGGUCAGCGACUUAUAUUCUGUAGCAAGGUUAACCGAAUAGGGGAGCCGAAGGGAAACCGAGUCUUAACUGGGCGUUAAGUUGCAGGGUAUAGACCCGAAACCCGGUGAUCUAGCCAUGGGCAGGUUGAAGGUUGGGUAACACUAACUGGAGGACCGAACCGACUAAUGUUGAAAAAUUAGCGGAUGACUUGUGGCUGGGGGUGAAAGGCCAAUCAAACCGGGAGAUAGCUGGUUCUCCCCGAAAGCUAUUUAGGUAGCGCCUCGUGAAUUCAUCUCCGGGGGUAGAGCACUGUUUCGGCAAGGGGGUCAUCCCGACUUACCAACCCGAUGCAAACUGCGAAUACCGGAGAAUGUUAUCACGGGAGACACACGGCGGGUGCUAACGUCCGUCGUGAAGAGGGAAACAACCCAGACCGCCAGCUAAGGUCCCAAAGUCAUGGUUAAGUGGGAAACGAUGUGGGAAGGCCCAGACAGCCAGGAUGUUGGCUUAGAAGCAGCCAUCAUUUAAAGAAAGCGUAAUAGCUCACUGGUCGAGUCGGCCUGCGCGGAAGAUGUAACGGGGCUAAACCAUGCACCGAAGCUGCGGCAGCGACGCUUAUGCGUUGUUGGGUAGGGGAGCGUUCUGUAAGCCUGCGAAGGUGUGCUGUGAGGCAUGCUGGAGGUAUCAGAAGUGCGAAUGCUGACAUAAGUAACGAUAAAGCGGGUGAAAAGCCCGCUCGCCGGAAGACCAAGGGUUCCUGUCCAACGUUAAUCGGGGCAGGGUGAGUCGACCCCUAAGGCGAGGCCGAAAGGCGUAGUCGAUGGGAAACAGGUUAAUAUUCCUGUACUUGGUGUUACUGCGAAGGGGGGACGGAGAAGGCUAUGUUGGCCGGGCGACGGUUGUCCCGGUUUAAGCGUGUAGGCUGGUUUUCCAGGCAAAUCCGGAAAAUCAAGGCUGAGGCGUGAUGACGAGGCACUACGGUGCUGAAGCAACAAAUGCCCUGCUUCCAGGAAAAGCCUCUAAGCAUCAGGUAACAUCAAAUCGUACCCCAAACCGACACAGGUGGUCAGGUAGAGAAUACCAAGGCGCUUGAGAGAACUCGGGUGAAGGAACUAGGCAAAAUGGUGCCGUAACUUCGGGAGAAGGCACGCUGAUAUGUAGGUGAAGUCCCUUGCGGAUGGAGCUGAAAUCAGUCGAAGAUACCAGCUGGCUGCAACUGUUUAUUAAAAACACAGCACUGUGCAAACACGAAAGUGGACGUAUACGGUGUGACGCCUGCCCGGUGCCGGAAGGUUAAUUGAUGGGGUCAGCGCAAGCGAAGCUCUUGAUCGAAGCCCCGGUAAACGGCGGCCGUAACUAUAACGGUCCUAAGGUAGCGAAAUUCCUUGUCGGGUAAGUUCCGACCUGCACGAAUGGCGUAAUGAUGGCCAGGCUGUCUCCACCCGAGACUCAGUGAAAUUGAACUCGCUGUGAAGAUGCAGUGUACCCGCGGCAAGACGGAAAGACCCCGUGAACCUUUACUAUAGCUUGACACUGAACAUUGAGCCUUGAUGUGUAGGAUAGGUGGGAGGCUUUGAAGUGUGGACGCCAGUCUGCAUGGAGCCGGCCUUGAAAUACCACCCUUUAAUGUUUGAUGUUCUAACGUGGACCCGUGAUCCGGGUUGCGGACAGUGUCUGGUGGGUAGUUUGACUGGGGCGGUCUCCUCCUAAAGAGUAACGGAGGAGCACGAAGGUUGGCUAAUCCUGGUCGGACAUCAGGAGGUUAGUGCAAUGGCAUAAGCCAGCUUGACUGCGAGCGUGACGGCGCGAGCAGGUGCGAAAGCAGGUCAUAGUGAUCCGGUGGUUCUGAAUGGAAGGGCCAUCGCUCAACGGAUAAAAGGUACUCCGGGGAUAACAGGCUGAUACCGCCCAAGAGUUCAUAUCGACGGCGGUGUUUGGCACCUCGAUGUCGGCUCAUCACAUCCUGGGGCUGAAGUAGGUCCCAAGGGUAUGGCUGUUCGCCAUUUAAAGUGGUACGCGAGCUGGGUUUAGAACGUCGUGAGACAGUUCGGUCCCUAUCUGCCGUGGGCGCUGGAGAACUGAGGGGGGCUGCUCCUAGUACGAGAGGACCGGAGUGGACGCAUCACUGGUGUUCGGGUUGUCAUGCCAAUGGCACUGCCCGGUAGCUAAAUGCGGAAGAGAUAAGUGCUGAAAGCAUCUAAGCACGAAACUUGCCCCGAGAUGAGUUCUCCCUGACCCUUUAAGGGUCCUGAAGGAACGUUGAAGACGACGACGUUGAUAGGCCGGGUGUGUAAGCGCAGCGAUGCGUUGAGCUAACCGGUACUAAUGAACCGUGAGGCUUAACCUUACAACGCCGAAG
rnacentral:rRNA from 1 species